ensembl:lncRNA
UAUCAGACCCUAGAUGUGUCCUCAUUCAUAUGUUGUAAUUUAAAAUUGAUCUUUGUAUUGUUCUCUCCAGGUGUGAAGAAACAUCACCAGUAGAGAUCCAGGACACAUGUUUUACUUCUUUGAAUUCUCUCAGGAAGAGAAGAGCCGGAAAGACCCACAUUAAGGUUGGCAAACACGUUGCCUAUUUACUUCAUAGAGACCCCAAUGGAGAACAAGGUGGGUGAUGAUUCAUGCUCAAUGGUUUCCACAAUAUGUUGAACACGACAAUAGCAGCUAACAUAAAGU